AGCAGCCGCGGUAAUUCCAGCUCCAAUAGCGUAUAUUAAAGUUGUUGCAGUUAAAAAGCUCGUAGUUGAAUUUCGGGGUUAGUAGGUUGGUCAUGCCUCUGGUAUGUACUGGUCUCACUGAUUCCUCCUUCCUUAUGAACCGUAAUGCCAUUAAUUUGGUGUUGCGGGGAAUUUGGACUGUUACUUUGAAAAAUUAGAGUGUUUAAAGCAAGCUAACGCUUGAAUACAUUAGCAUGGAAUAAUGAAAUAGGACGUUCGAUCUUAUUUUGUUGGUUUCUAGGAUUGACGUAAUGAUUAAUAGGGAUAGUUGGGGGCAUUAGCAUUCAAUUGUCAGAGGUGAAAUUCUUGGAUUUAUUGAAGACUAACUACUGCGAAAGCAUUUGCCAAGGAUGUUUUCAUUAAUCAAGAACGAAAGUUAGGGGAUCGAAGACGAUCAGAUACCGUCGUAGU
rnacentral:rRNA from 1 species